UGUUAACUAAUAGACAAGAUCAGGGGUGUCAAAUUUACCUGACGUAUCAGGACUCCCCCCCCCCCUUUGCUAAACUGGGUGUGGGCGUGGCCAGCGCAUGAUGCAUCCAGCCCGUGAACAUGGAGUUUGACAGCCCUGGCCAAGAUUAUAUGUGUCAUUCUCCAAAACUGAAGAGUAAAUAUAUUGCAAUUUCCUCUUGUAUGUAGAUGUUAUCUGUUAUCUCAAUUUUAAUUGGCCAAAAGUGAGUUAUGCCUUGCAAUGUAGAUGCAUUCAAAUUAAACAAAAGCUAGUUUAGGAUUUUGCCAAAAUUCAUGCCUGGCAACUAAAUAGGCAUUCCACUGCAAGGGUUAAAAUCAUGUUUGGGAAUAUUUUACCAGACAUGGAGCACAUAUGGAAUAUAUUGUUCAAAAAUCACAGAAAUUAACAUGACCUUUGACAUAUUUCUAUUUUCCCAGAGGCACCUGCUUCAUAUAAAGGUGAAAGUUUCCCUAUCCAGUCAUGUCCAACUCUAGCAGGUGGUGCUUCUUUUUCAACACAUAACUUUUAUAAUUAUCUAAUUUUUAAAUAAUUUUUGUUGUCUUCUUUUUGAAUUGGUGUGACCAUAAUCAAGUUUAUUGAAGUUAUUCUAUUUGCUCUAUUCAGUCCACAAAUGAAUGGAAAACAGCUACAAAAUCAUACAAUUUCAGUCUUCAUAAUGGAGAUAAUUCACAUUUUUCAGCCUAGGUGUGACAAGUUUUCAUAAAGUUUUGUGACUGUAACUGCCUAUCACAGUAAUCAUUUACCUCCUUUUCAAGGCAAUCAUUUUUUAGAAGAACCUUAUAUAUUCUGUGUCUAGAUUUAAAUGUUAUGGUCACACUUCCAAAAAAUAGCUAGAAAGAUGGCUGUCAAUGUAUACAUUAUUGCUAGAGCUUCAACCUUCCUUUUUGUGAAAGUGAUCAUCAAACAAUACUUGGCUGUGAUCAUUACAAGUGUAGGAAAUAUGCGUGUAAACUACUUAACCAGAUAAAACUAUUGGGUAUAGCUGUAAUAUUCUUCAUAGUAAGAUUAAUCAUUCUUCCCAUGUAACAGAAAUCAUUUUGAAAAUUAAACUUUACUCCUCAAGAAUGGUCAAAGGUCAUAGAACCUGUACGUGCAUUGGAGGAGCAGGCAGUUUAUGUUUGCAUUUAUAUGUAGAAAGGAAAGCAUGUGACUGUGUAGACCAAGUUUGUAAAAUCCAUUCUUCAAAGGAUAUAAUUUUUAAUUAUUUUUAUUAAUCAGUCUUACAAAGAAACAAAUCUUGCCAGUGUUGUCGCUUAUGCCAGAGCUAGUGAACUCUUGUGAUAUUUCAUACGAAAUUGUAAAAAAUAUUCAAAUUUGAAAUCGGCAUCAACAAUCCAAAAACAGAAUAACCCUUAUGAACAUUCUUUUAAAAGAAAAAAAUUGUGUAUGCCCCAUUGUCAUUUUUUACUAGGAAGCCAAUUAUGGCUCCAUGUAUAUUACAAUACAUGCUUUUUGAACACUCCAUUAGAGGGGCCUGCAUUUAAAAAUGUCACACACUGUGAUUCAGUUCCCUCUAGUGGUAAAAACACUUCCCUUACGGUACUGAAGUUCAUUCUUUAUUUACCCAUAAUUGUGAAUUGUAACUUCCUCAAUAAUAGUUUUCAGAAAAUUGAAGAUGAUCUCAAUAAGCAGAAACUUAAAAAUAAAUAAAAAACAUCCUUAAAACUGAGCUAGUUCUUAGAACUGGGUGAGGAUUCUUUGAAGAUUGUAUUGAUCCAUCUGUGAAAUAAAUG